AAAGAUUAAGCCAUGCAUGUGUAAGCACAUGCCUUAAAACGGUAAAGCCGCGAAUGGCUCGGUAUAACAGCCACUGUUUAUUAAACUCUAGUUAUCUACUUGGAUAACUGUGGCAAUUCUAGAGCUAAUACAUGCACGCAGGCUCGGACCUUUUGGGAAGAGCGCAUUUAUUAGACCAAAACCAAUCGGGCUUCGGCCUGUGUUUUGGUGACUCUGAAUAACUAAGUCGAUCGCACAGUCUUAGUACUGGCGACGUAUUUUUCAAAUGUCUGCCUUAUCAACUUUCGAUGGUAGGUUAUACGCCUACCAUGGUUAUAACGGGUAACGGAGAAUUAGGGUUCGACUCCGGAGAGGGAGCCUGAGAAAUGGCUACCACAUCCAAGGAAGGCAGCAGGCGCGCAAAUUACCCAAUCCCAGAACGGGGAGGUAGUGACGAAAAAUAACGAGGUAAUCCACUUUGUGGCUUACCAUCGGAAUGGGCACAAUAUAAAUCUUUUAACGAGGAUCUAUUAGAGGGCAAGUCUGGUGCCAGCAGCCGCGGUAAUUCCAGCUCUAAUAGUGUAUAUUAAAAUUGUUGUGGUUAAAACGCCCGUAGUUGGAUCUUCGGUCUUGAAGCUCGGUAGCCCGUAAGGGUUUAACUGAGUCUUCUGGCCUCGAUUCUAGUUUUCUCCUGAUGCUCUUUAUUGAGUGUCUUGAGUAGCUAGGAAUUUUACUUUGAAAAAAUUAGAGUGCUAAAAGCAGGCUAUACGCUUGAAUAAAGUGCAUGGAAUAAUGGAAUACGACUUUAGUCUUAUUUUGUUGGUUUUCGAGAUUAAAGUAAUGAUUAAGAGGAACAGCCGGGGGCAUUUGUAUUGUUGCGUUAGAGGUGAAAUUCUUGGAUCGCAGCAAGACAAACAACUGCGAAAGCAUUUGCCAAGAAUG
rnacentral:rRNA from 1 species